GUGAAUACGACAGCUAUACAUGCAAGUCGAGCGGACAGAAGGGAGCUUGCUCCCGGAUGUUAGCGGCGGACGGGUGAGUAACACGUGGGUAACCUGCCUGUAAGACUGGGAUAACUCCGGGAAACCGGAGCUAAUACCGGAUAGUUCCUUGAACCGCAUGGUUCAAGGAUGAAAGACGGUUUCGGCUGUCACUUACAGAUGGACCCGCGGCGCAUUAGCUAGUUGGUGAGGUAACGGCUCACCAAGGCGACGAUGCGUAGCCGACCUGAGAGGGUGAUCGGCCACACUGGGACUGAGACACGGCCCAGACUCCUACGGGAGGCAGCAGUAGGGAAUCUUCCGCAAUGGACGAAAGUCUGACGGAGCAACGCCGCGUGAGUGAUGAAGGUUUUCGGAUCGUAAAGCUCUGUUGUUAGGGAAGAACAAGUGCAAGAGUAACUGCUUGCACCUUGACGGUACCUAACCAGAAAGCCACGGCUAACUACGUGCCAGCAGCCGCGGUAAUACGUAGGUGGCAAGCGUUGUCCGGAAUUAUUGGGCGUAAAGGGCUCGCAGGCGGUUUCUUAAGUCUGAUGUGAAAGCCCCCGGCUCAACCGGGGAGGGUCAUUGGAAACUGGGAAACUUGAGUGCAGAAGAGGAGAGUGGAAUUCCACGUGUAGCGGUGAAAUGCGUAGAGAUGUGGAGGAACACCAGUGGCGAAGGCGACUCUCUGGUCUGUAACUGACGCUGAGGAGCGAAAGCGUGCGGAGCGAACAGGAUUAGAUACCCUGGUAGUCCACGCCGUAAACGAUGAGUGCUAAGUGUUAGGGGGUUUCCGCCCCUUAGUGCUGCAGCUAACGCAUUAAGCACUCCGCCUGGGGAGUACGGUCGCAAGACUGAAACUCACAGGAAUUGACGGGAGGCCCGCCCCAGCCGGACCAGCAUGACCAUUUAAUUCACUAGCAACGCGAAUGAACCUUACCAUAUCCUGGGCGUCGUCUGCACUACGCUAAAGCCUAGGAGCUUUCCCUUUCACGAACCGAGUGA
rnacentral:rRNA from 1 species